UACGUAGGUGGCAAGCGUUGUCCGGAGUUAUUGGGCGUAAAGCGCGCGCAGGCGGUGCGGUAAGUCUAUGGUGAAAGCGCUCGGCUUAACUGGGCGAGGGCCGUGGAGACUGCCGGACUGGAGGGGAGCAGAGGCGAGUGGAAUUCCGGGUGUAGUGGUGAAAUGCGUAGAUAUCGGGAGGAACACCAGUGGCGAAGGCGGCCUUCUGGACCAGUACUGACGCUCAUGCACGAAAGCGUGGGGAGCAAACAGG
rnacentral:rRNA from 1 species